AAUAUUCAGUCCAUUCAAGGGCUACGUUACCAGUGCUUGCAAUGCCUCUCAUACAAUCAAUGCCAGCAGUGUUUCUGGCUUGGGUUGAUCAGCAAAAAUCACAAAGUGACUCAUCAGAUGCAAGAAUAUUGCACAAAGACCACAUCAAAAGAAGCCACACAAGCACUUUGGA